UAUUCUUACAUCUGGAUUCAUAUCCUCUGUCGGAUUCAUCAUUAGCCUUUAUGCUCGGCGACGGCGACGAGGCCGGCCAUCAUUACCGCGCCACGUGCAACACUGUCUCUUUCUUCUUCCUCCUAUUUUCAUCUCUCCCGCUUCUCAGUGACUGAAUUAUUCAGAUAUGUGCAAAUGAGUUGUUUUCAUUUUUCCCUGCUGGAAGUGGAAAUUGAAAGUGACCCGGCGUGACCCCCAUCUAUUACUCAAGCUAAAUUGCAGUGAAUGUGCGGCGUGGCUCAUUGUGGCACCGCUGUUCUUUGUUAAGCGGCGAGCUGUGACCCCGCGCUGCUUGCAGCUUUUGCAGCAGCAGCUCGUUACGACCCGCACGCUCCUCGCUGCUUUAGAGCCCCAUUUAAAUAUUCUGCGCAGAACAAAGGCAAUCAUGUCGGGAGCGCGGGGCCGGGUCAGGGGCCGCUGCCGCAGGACAGUAGUUUAAGAUCAUUUAACUCCGCGGAGCUGCUUUCUCUCUGCGGCACAGCGGCAACGGAUCGUCCAUUAUUUAUGACGUGAAGCAGCUCAGCGAUUGAAAGAAGCAGAGGAGCUCAGGAACUUACUUUUCAAUCACCAACUGGAGCUCAGACUUCUUGGACCGGUUGUUAGCAUUUUGCUAGCCUAGCAGACAGCUAGCAGCUACAGCCGCCUGUGUCAAAGAGGCCACGCCCCUAACAAUACAAACUUCCAGCCUUACACAAUUUAAACAGCCUGACGCAAACUAACGUCCAUGACCACAUGCGAAGCCAGCAUUUCCGUCUUGCCCUCCUGACGUCCAGCCUUCCUGGGCUUCAGUGAGAGAAGCGCAGACCUGAGGUCUCAGAGCUGCGCGGAGCCCUGCAGCCUCCCAGAUUUAUUUCAGCCGAGCAGCUCGGGGCGGUGCCGCCGGCGUUACGAUGACCCCAUACAUCACGCCUCGUGUGAGCACAUAUUAAGUGCUUUUCUCAUCAUCCCCCCCGCCCAUUAAAAGUAAAUAAUCCGUUAAGGAGCGGUCCAAUUCCUCAUACGUGACAGGUAUCUGUUUGUACAGAGCCAGGAAGGUGUGCGAGGAGAGUGAGGAGGAGGAGGAGCGCUGGCGUGAGAGGACUCUGAUUACCUCGCUGUAGCUGCUAAAGUCAGAUGUACGCCCGCUGUGUGACCCCGGCGUUUACAUAAAGCUGCAAAGAAUGGAAGCGUAUGAGAAGUUAGAUUCACUGCCGCUGUGAGCGCACAGGAAAAAAGGUAGACGCUCGGCGUUCACUUCAUUAACGCACAUUUCCUAAUGAGCGCGAGCUCAGGGAAACCAAUCAGUAAUUAAGU